CAGGACGUAGCUAUAAUACAAAGCAUUCAGCUUACACCUGAAAGAUGCCUACCAUCCCCUAGGUCGUCCUGA
rnacentral:tRNA from 1 species